rnacentral:rRNA from 1 species
GAGUUCUCUUUUCUUUGUGAAGGGUUGGGUGCCCUGGAAUGGGUUCACCUCAUGUUUAAAACAAAGCAUUGUAAAGGCCCGUGGUGGGUGUUGACACGCUGUGAUUUCUGCCCAGCGGUCUGAACGUCAAAAUGAAGAAAUCCAACGAAGCGCAGGUGAACAGUGGGAGUCACUAUGACUCUCAAGGUAGCCAAAUGCCUCAUCAUCUAAUCAGUGACAUGCACAAACGGGUGAACAAGAUUCCCACUGUCCCUCCCCAGUGAAACCACAGCCAAGGGAACAGACUUGGCAGAAUCAGUGGGGAAAGAAGACUCUGUUGAGCUUGACCCUAGUAUGGCGCUGUGAAGAGACGUCAGAGGUGUAGAGUAAAUGGGAGGCUGAGCGUGUGCUCAGCCCUGUGGGGCAGCUUGCCCGCCAGCAUCCUGGCCACUGGUGAAAUACCACCUCUCUGUUCGUUUGUCACUUACCUGGUGGGGCAGGGGGCAGAGCCCUGAGGGAGGCUCUUGCUUCUGGCCCUGCUCCGGGGGCAGUGGCAGGUGGGGAGAUGAUUGACUUGGCAGUACACAUGUCAAAGCGCAAUGCAGGUGUCCUAAGGUGAGCUCAGGGAGAAAGGAAACCUCCAGCGGAGCAAAAGGGCAAAAGCUCGCUUGCUCUUGGUUUUCAGUGCAAAUACAGACUCGUGAUCCUCCUGGCUUUUGCUUUUUGGGUUUUAAGCAGGAGGUAUCAGAAAAGUUACCACAGGCAUAAGUGGCUUGUGGCAGCCAAGCUUUCAUAGCGAUGUUGCUUUUUGAUCCUUUGAUGAUCUCUUCCUAUCGUGAAGCAUUAGAUUGUUCACCUACCAAUAGGGAGUAUGAGCUGGGUUUAGACUGCCGUGAGACCGGUUAGUUUUACCCUUGAUGAUGAUGCGUUGUUGCAAGAGUAAUCCUGCUCAGCGCAAGAGGAACCGAAGGUUCAGACCCUGGUGAGCGCGCUUGGCCCAGGAGCCACUGGUGCGAGGCUACCACCUGCAGGCUGAAAGCCUCUUGACUCAGAAUCCCGCCCAGCCGUAGGGAUGCUGCCGGAGCACCGCCGCGCCAGCAAUAGCUGCCCGCCUCUUGC